rnacentral:lncRNA from 14 species
AGCUGGUGGCAGGAGACCCCAAGCGCUGCCCCCCACAUUCCUACUGUCCUACAGGCACACGGGUUCCUCUCACAUGUCCUGAAGGCACCUUCACUCCUGCAAAUAUGACUGGUCUGUGGAAUGAGAAGGAAUGCCUGCCUUGCUUACCUGGUCACUACUGCAGGUUUCUACUGCCUGGAGGGAUCCCAGGUACCAACACCGUGUCCUGCGAAUACCAUUAGAGAUGUUCCAGGAGCUGUGAAGAGAGAAGACUGCCUCCC